CCUACGGGUGGCAGCAGUGGGGAAUAUUGGACAAUGGGGGCAACCCUGAUCCAGCCAUGCCGCGUGUGUGAAGAAGGCCCUCGGGUUGUAAAGCACUUUCAGUGAGGAAGAACGCCUGGUGGUUAAUACCCAUCAGGAAAGACAUCACUCACAGAAGAAGCACCGGCUAACUCCGUGCCAGCAGCCGCGGUAAUACGGAGGGUGCGAGCGUUAAUCGGAAUUACUGGGCGUAAAGCGCACGUAGGUGGCUUGAUAAGCCGGUUGUGAAAGCCCCGGGCUCAACCUGGGAACGGCAUCCGGAACUGUCAAGCUAGAGUGCAGGAGAGGAAGGUAGAAUUCCCGGUGUAGCGGUGAAAUGCGUAGAGAUCGGGAGGAAUACCAGUGGCGAAGGCGGCCUUCUGGACUGACACUGACACUGAGGUGCGAAAGCGUGGGUAGCAAACAGGAUUAGAUACCCUUGUAGUC
rnacentral:rRNA from 1 species